rnacentral:rRNA from 1 species
AAUGAACGUUGGCGGCGUGGAUUAGGCAUGCAAGUCGUACGGUAAGCUUCGGCUUAUAGUGGCGAAAGGGAGAGUAACGCGUGGUUACAUGCCCUCGGGACCGGGAUAGCGGCGGGAAACUGCCGGUAAUACCGGAUAAUAUCUUUGGAUCAAAGGUGUGAUUCCGCCCGAGGAUUGGACCGCGUUCUAUUAGCUUGUUGGCGGGGUAAUGGCCCACCAAGGCGACGAUGGAUACCGGGUGUGAGAGCAUGGCCCGGCUCACUGGGACUGAGACACUGCCCAGACACCUACGGGUGGCUG